CCUACGGGCGGCAGCAGUGAGGAAUAUUGGUCAAUGGACGAGAGUCUGAACCAGCCAAGUAGCGUGAAGGAUGACUGCCCUAUGGGUUGUAAACUUCUUUUAUAUGGGAAUAAAAUGUUCCACGUGUGGGAUUUUGUAUGUACCAUAUGAAUAAGGAUCGGCUAACUCCGUGCCAGCAGCCGCGGUAAUACGGAGGAUCCGAGCGUUAUCCGGAUUUAUUGGGUUUAAAGGGGGCGUAGGGGGAUUUUUAAUGCAGGUGUGAAAGUUUGCGGCUCAACCGUAAAAUUGCAGUUGAAACUGGCAGUCUUGAGUACAGUAGAGGUGUGCGGAAUGCGUGGUGUAGCGGUGAAAUGCUUAGAUAUCACGAAGAACUCCGAUUGCGAAGGCAGUUCACUGGACUGCAACUGACACUGAGGCUCGAAAGUGUGGGUAUCAAACAGGAUUAGAUACCCCGGUAGUC
rnacentral:rRNA from 1 species